rnacentral:tRNA from 1 species
GCUCCUGUAGCCCAAUUGGAAGAGGCCGCUACCUCAAAAGUAGUUGUAAUUUGUGUGUGGGUUCGACUCCCACUAGGAGCA